rnacentral:rRNA from 1 species
GAUGAACGCUAGCGGCAGGCUUAAUACAUGCAAGUCGAGGGGCAGCAGCUUUGUAGCAAUACAGGGGCUGGCGACCGGCAAACGGGUGCGGAACACGUACGCAACCUUCCUUUAACUGGGAGAUAGCCCACCGAAAGGUGGAUUAAUAUCCCAUAGUAUAUUUGAGUGGCAUCACUUAGAUAUUAAAGCUCCGGCGGUUAAAGAUGGGCGUGCGUCUGAUUAGGUAGUUGGCGGGGUAACGGCCCACCAAGCCCACGAUCAGUAGCUGAUGUGAGAGCAUGAUCAGCCACACGGGAACUGAGACACGGGCCCGACUCCUACGGGAGGCAGCAGUAAGGAAGAUUGGUCAAUGGACGCAAGUCUGAACCAGCCAUGCCGCGUGGAGGAUGAAGGCCCUCUGGGUUGUAAACUUCUUUUCUUUGGGACGAAACCCCUGUUUCUACGGGGACUGACGGUACCAGAGGAAUAAGCACCGGCUAACUCCGUGCCAGCAGCCGCCGUAAGAC